rnacentral:rRNA from 1 species
AUUGAACGCUGGCGGCAGGCUUAACACAUGCAAGUCGAGCGAGCGGCGGACGGGUGAGUAAUGUCUGUGAAACUGCCUGAUGGAGGGGGAUAACUACUGGAAACGGUAGCUAAUACCGCAUACCAUCACGUGUGCCCAGAUGGGAUUAGCGAGUAGGUGGGGUAAUGGCUCACCUAGGCCACGCUCCCUAGCUGGUCUGAGAGGAUGACCAGCCACACUGGAACUGAGACACGGUCCAGACUCCUACGGGAGGUAGCAGUGGGGAAUAUGGAACAAUGGGCGCAAGCCUGAUGCAGCCGUGCCGCGUGUGUGAAGAAGGCCUUCGGGUUGUAAAGCACUUUCAGCGAGGAGGCGUUACUCGCAGAAGAAGCAAGGGCUAGCUCCGUGCGAGCAGCCGCGGUAAUAC